rnacentral:rRNA from 1 species
UACGGGGCGCAGCAGGCGCGAAACCUCUGCAAUGCGGGAAACCGUGACAGGGGGAUCCCAAGUGCUCAUGCAUUGCAUGGGCUGUUCUUUGGUCUAAGUAAUCAGAGGAGUAAGGGCUGGGCAAGACCGGUGCCAGCCGCCGCGGUAAUACCGGCAGCUCAAGUGGUAGCCGCGAUUAUUGGGCCUAAAACGUUCGUAGCCGGAUAAGUAAGUCUUUGGUUAAAUCCUGCGACUUAACCGUGGGAAAUCUAGGGAUACUGCUUGUCUUGAGACCGGGAGAGGUUGGAGGUACUCCUAGGGUAGGGGUGAAAUCCUGUAAUCCUAGGGGGACCACCUGUGGCGAAGGCGUCCAACUGGAACGGGUCUGACGGUGAGGGACGAAACCUAGGGGAGCGAGCCGGAUUAGAUACCCGGGUAGUCCUAGGCGUAAAUGAUGCGAGUUAAGUGUGGGGGCAUCUACGAGAUGGCCCUGUGCUGUAGGGUAGCCGUUAAACUCGCUGCCUGGGGAGUACGGUCGCAAGGCUGAAACUUAAAGGAAUUGGCGGGGGAGCACCACAAGAGGUGGAGGCUGCGGUUCAAUUGGAUUCAACGCCGGA